AUUUAGAGAGAUAAAGUUAAAACAAUGCAGAGUAAAUCGUCCAAUGUGGCUCAAAGAUGACCCUAUAAAUCGCGAUAGAUGAGCGCCGUAAGCAUCUGGUUAUAAGACUUGAUUGCGAGCAAAGGUUGAAGCAAGACCUAGGUGUCUGAGUAGCGAAACAUAACGGCAUCACAUCUGCAUUGCGUCACCAAAUGCGCUGAGCUCCUGCUUCAACGUGAUAUUGGGUGGUAUCUGUGUGUACACGAGUCGAAAGUUUUAUUCUUUGCAUGACAAAUAUUAUGAAAGCGUUGUCAAGAAGCCUUCUUAGUCUGUGUUGGUUUUAACGGGCCAGUUCAAAUUUAGAGCUAAUAUAGAACAGGAGCUACAACUGAAAGAGAGCAGGUUGUGCAGAGAUCGAUAGAUAAACUUUGACGAUGCAUGGAAUAAUAAUUUUACUUUCCUUAAUGAUCACGCUUAUUGGCGCCGAAGGAAAAGAAAGAAAUGGCUAUCAAAUGCUGAGAAAAUCUAUUCAAGACAGACUUGCAGCUGCAAGCAAAAAUAAUGAUGACACCAACAAACUGCGUUCUGCUAAAACACUUCUUGGAGACCCUCGACUAGAAACAUUCAAGUUUAUUCUUCCAACUGAGUCUGGAUACCAGCAACCUGAUGGUGUCAAUACAAAGACUGUGGCAUCUUCCAGGUAUAUCGCCGCAUUACGGUAUUACAGCGGGGCCAUCCCAGAACGCAAGGUUUUCAAAGUGAAAUUAUCGAUACAGGGCAGUUCACAAAAGAAACAUCGGAAACUCAAGGGGACUCUGGUUUUCCCUAAGAACAUUUCAGAUGUUGUCGGCGAAUGUCAAUGGGAGCUGAAUACGAGAAAAGGAAAGAAAAUCAUGUUCGUUCCAAAAGCAUGUGUAAAAAUGAUUUUGGACUUUGACAAGAAGAAAAUGCAGGACCACAAUGUAAUAGCUUUGCUUAUUCCAAAGAGAAAUAAAUUGUACGGAACAAGUAAACGGAAAAUCACGAAAAAAUUCGUGCUCGUUAGUUAUGGCAAACGGAUGGGUGCAUUGCUGAGACAGCUGGCCGUGAGGUGGGAGAUUGCACGUUUACUUGUAACCAGAAAACGGCACGAACGACAAAGAAGUAAACAUCGGUAUUAAUGCAUUAAUUUUUAACCAUUUAAAUAAAUGUUGUCUGUAAAGGUAAUGCGAUUUUAAUACUAGGAAUGUAGCAUUUGAGUUGUGGCUCGGCUAAACCCUUCGUCUAGCGUUUUCAUAUAACUUGGUGUAUUCCAGGAAUUUUCCGCGGGAAAGCUUGAAAAGAGGAAACCAACUGAUAAUUACAUUUUACGAGAAAACUUGAACACCCACAGGGUGGAUCACGGAUUCUCAAUUUUUGCUAAGCGUAUUCUUGUAUGCUCAACGGCCAAGUAGCUUCAUUGUUGUCGAUAUUAUUGUACCAAGAAAAAGUAUGACAAAAGUAAAAAAUUAACAGUAAGAUUUUUAUAGAAGCUUUCGCUACAUUAGCAUUGUGCGACUUUCAUUAUUUGAUAAUUAGCUUGAAGUUAAAGGAUGUACAGUCUUAUAACUUUUUUUAAGUUUCGAUUAAAGACGCUUGAUGGCUUUUGAAACGAAAAUCCUACAACCUUAGUAAAAAUGGUAGAACAGACGUAUUUUUGCGGGAAUCGUUUGCUUACUAUCUUUCAGCGUCUAUUUGGCCCUUUUUUCAAUUCAGUACCCCCAAUUUACAGACUUAUACUAUAGAAAGUACCUAUUUCCUUCCGUUCCAACUUCUAGCCGAGAAAGAAAAACUUCUUUCCACUUGAUCUUAUUUCAGAAAAGGCUGUCGUUUGUGACCAUUAUCUCCCAGUUUGUACUUGCCCCCCCCCCUUCUCCAGGGCUGUUGCGAUUGUGUUUCAUUAUUGGGUGUAUGAUGGUUUGCUCAGAACUUGAGCUAAAAAUUACAUUACUAGAUUUACUGACCAACCCCGGCAGUGAUUUGCCAAGAGACCCCUGUUCCAUGGGUGAGACUCUAGUGCCUCAUAAAGCGAUGGCCUUGCCCCCUAAACUUCUCAUCUUUUUUAUGUCUUGAUAGCCGUAACUCGCACGUUUUUGCAAGUAAUUGCCAUGCCAAAUCAGUCAAACUAGCAGAAUUAGAUUAUUUUUGUAGUCAGUAAAUGGAAGACUGUGAAUAUUAGCAAUCACUGUAUAUGUUAGCAAUAUCUUGCCUGUUAGCAACGGUUUAAUAAAUACUGUACGAAAAACUGCAUUGUUGCAUGAAUUUUAACAAAACACGUGAUUUGUUUUCAAUGAGCUACAGCGCACUGCCCACUCCACUUUCGGUUGAUAUUGACAGUUACGGACCAGCAUCUCUUUGGAUUUGGGGGAACUAAGAAAUAGCUAAACAAAUUUUUAAUCUAUAUUUCAUGCAAGUACCAAACAUCAUCAGGUACGUGUUUAAACAUUUUUUACUUUUGCUUUCAAAAACUAAAAUUAUGGAAUGAAUAUUACUGAGGUCGAAAAGCAAGUUUUAUUUGAAUAUCAGACCAAGGAAUUUUGUUUGAUGACCUUCGCCUAUUUUCAUGAGAGGGUCAGUUUUUGACGCAACGCGUAAUCUGACGAGUUGAGUCACAAAGCUUUGUGCUCAGUGAUGGAUACCAGGUAUCAAUGAUAUAUCGGCUCUGCCUACCGUUAGCACUAAUCUUUCCUUCAAUAUGCCAAUAUCAGCAGAAGUUAUUUGAAUAUUUCGAAACCUCUUCGUCAGUGAGCGUAGAGGCUAGACAUUGACCUGGCCUGAACAUUUUCGUUGCGCUGGGGCUCAAAAGAGUUUAAUAUCAACUCCUUUUGGUAUUGGUCAAAUCGAAACUCGAUUUCUUACAUAACAGCCAGGGAUAUGGUUAGCAUAUACCCUGCUAAAGCUUUCAACCAGAUCAAGAUCAUGCACUUUGAUUUCGAAAUUUCAUAGUUUCGUGCACUUUAAUUUCAUAGUUUCAUUACUAAGAUUGGAAAAGUACACAAGCAAUGAAAAAGACCGUCGUGAAUACAGCAAUUUCGAGAAAGAAAAAUUUCAGGAUUUUUCUACUCAAGUAACAGGCAAACAAUGGAGGAUGAUUUAACCCUAGAACUAGUGGAAAGGCAGGCAUGGCGAUCAAAGGAAGUCAAUACCAGUGCAAAAUCGAAGCAUUGCUCCCUGAUCAGGUUAUUUUCCAAUAAAGAAAGGAACUGAUCAAAAUACAAUUGAUGUCUUUACAAGUUACGGCACCACCUUGCAGCUCUCAAGCAAAUGGCAUAUAUGUUCUAAAAAUAGUCCAAACUGUUUUACCUCCCUUUGUACAGUAUAUACUUUUAGCUCUAUUUCUCAAGACAUAUUUCAGGCAUAGCUUUCAUGAAUAAAUAUAAAGCUCUAGAAUUUGCAAAAAGAAAGAGAUGAAGUGUUAGUCUUUAACAAAUUCUGUAAAUUCAGCUGUCCUUGAUUAUGCCCGAACAUAACCACCUUAUCUAGGGGUGGCGCCAGCCACUAGGCUCUGGAAGAGGGGGGGGGGGUAAAACAGCAACUUUUAGACCACGCCUCUUUAACUGUCGAACAACGUCCCUUUAGGAACAAGGAAUGCCAAUUUUACCAAUAGGGAAUGCAAAUGAUCAACUUUUGGUUAUGUAAAAGUAGCUUUAAAAUCGAACAUCACAAAAAAUACGUUGCCAAAAAUAUAGUACCGCAUCCCCAAUAUUUUUUCAUCGAAUUUAGACGAAAUGCAAAAUUGAUCCUGCUUAGAACUGGGGGGAGGAGUAUCCCUCAGUCCCCCCAUGGCGCCGCUAUUGACCUUUUUCAUUUGCCAAGCAUACCCCUCCUAUCUCUAUUGUUUGCUUCCUAACAUUUGAUAACAAGCUAUAUUGGGAACCAAAACCUACAUUGUGUACACUUUGAAAGACGUAAAGGUACAGAAUCUUCUUUUCUUUAGAUUAUUGACAUUGUCAGCACUUGGCUAUGUUACUAAUCUUUACAUUGGGAAGGAACGAUGCUAUUUUUGAAACUUGCUCGUUCCCAUAGAAUAUGACGCUAUGAUGUUAUAGCCUUAGACUAUAAUAGAAUGAUUUAUCAUUUGUUUCUACGUUUGUUUAAGUGCUAAAAAAGUAGCUCUAAGAAAUCGUAAAAUGCUUCUCAUGUUGUUCCUUUACUUCAACAGGUCAACAAGACCUGAUACUGAUGAGUCAGUAGCCCACUUCAAAGCGUUGCUUGUCCCACAAGCCUUUUGCCAAUUUCCUGCCUUUUAUUGAAUACAGAAUCAAAUCGACUUGAUAAAAAGGAAACUGGCAAGAUGUUGUCUAUUCUUUGCAAUAGUAGGCAAACACGGCUUGAAGAUAGCAUUCCCUAUAAUAAAGAAGAAAAGCUUGAAAUAGAUGUUAAAUUGAUAGUACUGAUCACUUUCCAAAUAUUAGCAUUACUGUCACUUGGUAUGACAGAUAAAAGGAUUUGCUUACGUCAUACCAAAGCUUACACUUAUUGGUUCAUUAAUAGUCCUAAUGCAGUAGACACAUGCCUUAAUCCUUAUUUGUUCAAACAAUCAUUCGAGCUCUCUCAAAGAGUUCUGCUUUCGCUGAAUCCUAAAACUUCUACAUAAUUCUGUUGUUAAUUAGCGAUAUAAAAUGCGGACAAUAGCUGACAACUCUAAAACCGGACAAGCGUUUUUCAAGGAGUUAUCAAUAACUUCCAAACUGCAGACAAUUGAAGAAAACAUCGCUACAGCAUUGCCUUAUAAAGGUUGUCUUUUAGUUGAAAGACUGCUAUCUACAGCUAGAAACAGAUCUGUUCCCUUUUAGUGGUGCAAUGGAGCAGUGGGAAAGCAAUUCAAUUUAUUUGAUGCCUAUAAAAGAUUAAAACUCUAGAUUUAAUUGAUGCUUACUUUUUCAAAUUUCCGAGGACAGGGAAGGCCUUGCACACCUAACCUUCCUUGGUCAAUGAGCCUCUUCCUCUUUCCACUAGCAAAUGUCACAUUUCUAUAAGAAAGCAGCUAAAAGAGGGAAUUCUAAAUACGUAACAAUGCAGUUCCAGGCUAGAAACACAUUAACAUUUUAAACAAAGUUACUCCUUUUUUCUUAGAAAAAAGACUAACAAUCUAUCAACAGUUUUGAUUGUACAGUUUAGUGUUUCCACUACAGCUGUCAGCAAAAGCUCACGAGUUUAUAGAUAUUGGCCAAGCAGAUCUUCUCAUUAUUUUUUCAUUCUAAUAUGCGUACACUUACCUAACAGUUAUUUCAAAAGUUACAAUCAUUACAAUCGCUCUAACUACCUCAAAAUACUCUUGACAACUUUUUAACAUAGUUUUCAUUCAUAAAUUCUUUAAGAAUUCUAUUUAGAAAAGAUUGCGAAUUUUGACCAACCAAGAAAAACUGGCCCCAAAAAAGAGGAUAGCAUGUUACCUCAUCGUUUCAUGUUGCAUGACUUGAACCAGCAAAAUGCAUGGUAAAUUUAUGUCCUUUUUUCAGGGAAUGGGCACUUAUUGUGUGUAAAACAGCGUAACAGUAUAAAUUUUCUAACAUGGAAUCAACUGUUGCAUACUUGGUUCAAUUUUUAUAAUAUUUGCUACUUGCAUACUAUUCUAAUGACGAUUUAUUAAUAUUCUAUACGAAAUGUUCCUUGCCUGAGAACAUCUAAUGCUCGAUAUUUUAGA